rnacentral:tmRNA from 1 species
GGGGGCGACCUGGCUUCGACGUGGGUUGCGAAACCUGAAGUGCAUGCCGAGAUUGAGACCUCUCGUAAAUCAGACUCAUUAAACACAAAUGCAAAUGAUGAAAACUUUGCUGGUGAAGCUAUCGCUGCUUAAUCGCGUUAGAUAAACCACACCGUGCGCUGCCAUAAACCAGCGCCCCGUUGCCCACGCCUGCUUAUAGGUAGUGGAAUCAACGGUCAUAGAAGAUAAGCUAGUGAUUUGAUUGUCCCGCAUCAAAUUGCGAAACUCAGGGAACCGUUGUGCACCAUCCUGCCAGUCGGAGGGUUCACAAUUAAAUUAAAUGACCCGGCUAUGCAUGUAGACCUGAUGGCAGAGGAUUUGCGGACGCGGGUUCGAUUCCCGCCGCCUCCACCA